AUGGGUUGCGGUGGCUCCAAGGAGGACGUGGCCACCGGCAACACCACCGCCAACGGCGCCGGGCGCGGCGGCAAGCUCUUCCGGAGGAAGUCCACCAUGUCCGCCAGCCACCGCUCUUCCCACGCCUCCUCCCCCUCCUCGUCCGACGACUCCUCCGUCGUCGUCAAGGAGCCGGCGGCCAGCGAGCCCAAGACCGACGUCGUCGAGGUGGCGUCGGACGAGAAGCCCGCCGCCGUCGUCGAGGAUAAGGAAGAGGAGGUGGUGGUGGCCAAGAAGGAUGUCACCCGCGACGAACUUUCUGCCAUGGUGGACGAGGCGGCGCAACCUCCUUUGAAGGAGGAGGACGAGUUGCUGAAAUCCACCAUGGCCGAUGAGGCGCCGGUGGUGGAGGAGGCUAAGGUUGAUGAGGCGAAGGAAGCAGUAGUAGCACUCGUCAAGGAGGAGACCAUACCCGAGGAGACCAAGGAGGAAGAGACGUCUCCUGCUUCCACAAAUGAGCGUGGAGAAUCGGCCGGGCAGAGCACCACAAAACACAUGGAGGCCAACCCCAUUGACGAACACAAGGUAAAGGAUGAUGUGCCCCCCGUGUCGGAGCUGUUGUCGUCACUGGAGAAGAGCGCAUCUGCUGUUGUUGCCCGAAGCAAAUCGCCGGUGAACUAA
rnacentral:rRNA from 1 species